rnacentral:rRNA from 1 species
GACGGAGGGGGCUAGCGUUGUUCGGAAUUACUGGGCGUAAAGGGCGCGUAGGCGGAUUAGUAAGUUGGGAGUGAAAGCCCGGGGCUUAACCUCGGAACUGCUUUCAAAACUGCUAGUCUUGAGUGAAGUAGGGGAUGAUGGAAUUCCUAGUGUAGAGGUGAAAUUCUUAGAUAUUAGGAGGAACACCGGUGGCGAAGGCGGUCAUCUGGACUUCAACUGACGCUGCGGCGCGAAAGCGUGGGGAGCACACACG